CCGUGGGGCUCCGGCCCCUCUGGGAUAGAACCCCUGACCUUUUGAGAACUGUGCGUUUCCUUGGCUGGGCUUGCCCGCCAACGUGGGACCCCACACAAACCAGUUGAACUACCUGUCAUCUGUCUGAGAAAACAAAACAAACAUCA
rnacentral:misc_RNA from 1 species